rnacentral:lncRNA from 1 species
AUGUGAUAUAGUUUCUAAAUAUUUGAAUUCCAGUAGAAAUUUACAAUUUUUAUAUUUUAAUCCUGAGAGUGAAAAAAAGUAAUUAUCAUUUUUUCAUACGUUUGUAUAUAUGCGUGCGAAAACUUUAAGGGUUGUCAUUGUAAUGAAGAAGAAAAAACCACGUAAUACUUUUGUGAAAAGUACCAAAAACAAAUAACGUUAACACACAGACGAGUGUUAUAUACUUCAACAUUUUCGUAUUGCUGUUUGAGUUUCAUCUAUUUAUUCAAAGAAGUAGUACAUGCACUAUCCUGCAUGAAUUUAAGAUGCUGUUAUAUAAAAUACAGAUUUAUUUAUAUUUGUUCCGUCGAACAAAACACAGGUUUAAAAAAAAACCUUAUAGUAAAUUUAGUAACUGUUUAAAUUAUUUGCACUACAUUCAUGAUGGUGACUGUCAGAAAUAUCACCGGUCUAUGUCAAAAUCAACAAGAUUGGCAUAAGAGUAAUUAAUUCUAUAAAAACUCAUCAAUCAUAUUAAUUAUGUAUGAAAUACCACAUGAUAUGUUAAUUUCCUGUUAUAAAACAUUCACUUCUUACAGUUAUCAUAGUUUCCGCAAUAAAUUUAAUUUUUACACAUGUUUGUUCAAUUCAUUAGGAC